ACUCCUACGGGAGGCAGCAGUGGGGAAUAUUGCACAAUGGGCGCAAGCCUGAUGCAGCCAUGCCGCGUGUGUGAAGAAGGCCUUCGGGUUGUAAAGCACUUUCAGUCGUGAGGAAGGUGGUAGUGUUAAUAGCACUAUCAUUUGACGUUAGCGACAGAAGAAGCACCGGCUAACUCCGUGCCAGCAGCCGCGGUAAUACGGAGGGUGCGAGCGUUAAUCGGAAUUACUGGGCGUAAAGCGCAUGCAGGUGGUUUGUUAAGUCAGAUGUGAAAGCCCGGGGCUCAACCUCGGAAUUGCAUUUGAAACUGGCAAACUAGAGUACUGUAGAGGGGGUAGAAUUUCAGGUGUAGCGGUGAAAUGCGUAGAGAUCUGAAGGAAUACCGGUGGCGAAGGCGGCCCCCUGGACAGAUACUGACACUCAGAUGCGAAAGCGUGGGGAGCAAACAGGAUUAGAUACCCUGGUAGGACAGUG
rnacentral:rRNA from 1 species